CCUCCUUUCAAGAGGCUCGGCAGCCUCCUUUCAAGAGGCUCGGCAGCCGCCUUUCAAGAGGCUCGGCAGCCUCCUUUCAAGAGGCUCGGCAGCCUCCUUUCAAGAGGCUCGGCAGCCUCCUUUCAAGAGGCUCGGCAGCCUCCUUUUAAGAGGCUCGGAAGCCUCCUUUUAAGAGGCUCGGCAGCCUCCUUUCAAGAGGCUCGGCAGCCUCCUUUCAAGAGGCUCGGCAGCCUCCUUUCAAGAGGCUCGGCAGCAAAAAAGGAGUAUCUUCUAUACUUCAAGUGUUACCUCAUUAUAAAUCAUAUAAUGGAGCCAUGAUUCGCCAAGCAUAUGAACGUAUGAAUCCGAGUUACUAUAAGGAAGCUGAUCUAAGAAAGUUAUUUUCGUUGGGUCUGAUACUUGAAAAGGAUACGUAUGCAAUGGUUCAUGAUGAUCACAUUCGUGGAUGCUUGCGUAUUAUGGGGCGAUUGACUAGAAAAGGUGUUAAAAAGUUAUGUCCUGUCAUUGAAGUAGAACCCGAAGAAGAACUUGCAUCUCCAUUGAUUCGUUUCAUUUCGGAAUCGCCUUCAGCUUUGGCUGAGCAGCUAGCAAGAUAUGUAGCCUACGACUUUGAGAACGACCAGAAAGUACCACCGCAUCUAAUCAACCAAGACGAAUCAUACAUGAUAUGCAGAGGAACAAGUGUUCUUGCUUGGUGCAGAUGCUGUGCAAGCAAUUGAUACAUUCAUUAAGUUUUUUUGUGUUUUUAACCAUAAAGCGCCGGCCUCUUUGGUUAAGCUCGUAGAACUUAUAGAAAUUAUCAGUUACCGAGUUAAGCAAAACAGCUGCCGACGUCACGUCAAUGAGUUGUGUGCGAAACUGAUGGAGUUCAUGAAUGCCAACUCUGAUUAAAUGACCUCGUGAAUAACAUGUUUAAAAACUGUUUAUUGUUCAAGUUUUCGAUAUGAGAAAUAAGUUUUUAAUAAAGAUUACAAUGUAAACUUGUUUGCUUUUGUUUUGUUCCCUUCUACGACUAAAACUGUUGGCCUUAAAGAAAUUUUCCUUCCAAUAUGAACCAAAAAACCCACCCACAUUUUUGUUUACUGAAAAUGCGUUAUUUUCACUCAUGAGCGUAUUUCUUGGAGGGAUUAAAAGUACGCAAUUUUUGACAUAUAGCUAUGAUGCGCAUUUAUGAGUAGAAGAGGUUUACCCAUUUAUUGGGUAGUCCCAGUUGGUCACCGAAAUGCGCAUUAUUGAGUAUUUUGCUGUUACCGUGUAGACCGGCACCGGGAAUCGAACCCAGCCACCCUCAGCAUGGUCUUGCUUUGUAGCCGCGCGUCUUACCGCACGGCCAAGGAGGGCUCACGACAUACUGAUUGCAAAACUUGGGAUGCUCUACAACAUUCUGCAACUGGCUUCGAUCAUAUUUAGUGCAACGUCAAGUGACCAUCAUCAUUGGAGAUCACUCAUCCCACUGUUUUUCGAACGGCUCCGGAGUCCCCCAAGGAAGCACGCUGUCCAUUGUUGUUUUGGCUCUUCGUGAAUGACGUAACUUUUAUCUCGCAGCGUGGAGGCCUGCCGUUGAUGUUUGCAGACGAUCUCAAAUUAUACCUCGUUAUUCGAAAUCUGACGGCCAAGAAUUGCAG